rnacentral:rRNA from 1 species
GUUUGAUCCUGGCUCAGAGCGAACGUUAGCGGCAGGCUUAACACAUGCAAGUCGAGCGACAAAAGGGGCUUCGGCCCCUGAGUAGAGCGGCGGACGGGGUGCGUAACACGUGGAUAAUCUGCCUCGUGGCGGGGGAUAACAGUCCGAAAGGACUGCUAAUACCGCAUGUCAGGUCGGAAACCCUGGUUUCUGACGAAAAAGAGGGCGCCCGCAAGGGGCUCUCACCACGAGAUGAGUCCGCGGCCCAUCAGCUAGUUGGCGGUGUAAUAGACCACCAAGGCUAAGACGGGUAGCUGGUCUGAGAGGAUGACCAGCCACACUGGGACUGAGACACGGCCCAGACUCCUACGGGAGGCAGCAGUGGGGAAUAUUGGACAAUGGGCGAAAGCCUGAUCCAGCCAUGCCGCGUGAGUGAUGAAGGUCUUCGGA